rnacentral:rRNA from 1 species
CUGGCUCAGGAUGAACGCUGGCGGCGUGCCUAACACAUGCAAGUCGAACGAAGCGCCUUAAGAGAUUCUUCGGAUGAUCUUUUGGUGACUGAGUGGCGGACGGGUGAGUAACGCGUGGGUAACCUGCCCUGUACAGGGGGAUAACAGCCAGAAAUGGCUGCUAAUACCGCAUAAGCGCACAGGAAGACAUCUUCCAGUGUGAAAAACUCCGGUGGUACAGGAUGGGCCCGCGUCUGAUUAGCUGGUUGGCGGGGUAACGGCCCACCAAGGCGACGAUCAGUAGCCGGUCUGAGAGGAUGAACGGCCACAUUGGAACUGAGACACGGUCCAAACUCCUACGGGAGGCAGCAGUGGGGGAUAUUGCACAAUGGGGGAAACCCUGAUGCAGCAACGCCGCGUGAGUGAAGAAGUAUUUCGGUAUGUAAAGCUCUAUCAGCAGGGAAGAUAAUGACGGUACCUGACUAAGAAGCUCCGGCUAAAUACGUGCCAGCAGCCGCGGUAAUACGUAUGGAGCAAGCGUUAUCCGGAUUUACUGGGUGUAAAGGGUGCGUAGGCGGCAGAGCAAGUCAGAUGUGAAAGACCGGGGCUCAACCCCGGGGCUGCAUUUGAAACUGUUUUGCUGGAGUCCGGGAGAGGCAGGCGGAAUUCCUAGUGUAGCGGUGAAAUGCGUAGAUAUUAGGAGGAACACCAGUGGCGAAGGCGGCCUGCUGGACCGGAACUGACGCUGAGGCACGAAAGCGUGGGGAGCAAACAGGAUUAGAUACCCUGGUAGUCCACGCCGUAAACG